AUUUUUUAACUCUUUCAAGUACAGUGGUUCAAAUUUUGAACCACGCUUUUUUUGUACGGUGCAGGACGGUGGGGUAAAAUUUAAACCACCAUAUAUUCAGUCUUCUACCCAAAAGGGACACGGGUUUAAAUCGUACACCACUAUUGCGGACCGUUUAUUGGGUUAUACAGAGUAUUAUGACUCAUUUUGUUUUGACUGGAAACGGUUGUUCAUUCGAGAAAUGCGUAUGAUUUGUAUCAUUCCGCCGCGGCCGGCUUACGCGAUAUUCUUUUAGUGUGAAAACGUUAUUCUUUUGAAAGAUACUUUAGAAAACUAGUGGAAUAUAGUCUACAGGACUUAUUGAAGGUGUUCAAAAAUUGUACCACCGUACUGCAGUGCAUUAUGAAUAGAAGGAAUGAACCUCCCUCAUUCAAUUUGGUCGGAAUGUCAGUAGAUGAAUUUUACGAUGAAAUUGAGCGAAUUGAGAAUGGUGACUGUGUUUCGAUACCUUCCAAUAAUGUUUCGGACAACGACAGCGACUUGGAAGACGAUACGGUCGAAUUACUGGAAGAGGAGGAUGGCAAUGUAGAAUUGAGCUUUCAUUCAGAUGAGGAUGAAUGGAACACAAGUGACAAUUUGCCAUGAUGGGCAUAAAAAAAUAUCGUCGGUGAGACUAACAGAAAGUACACAUCAACCAAUGAGGACAAGCCGCAGAAGAUGUGCGCAUUGCAGCACAAAAAGUCAGAUGUGAGAACAAACUGGCAAUGCAGUGUAUGCCAAGUUCCCCUGUGACUAGGGAAAAAUAAGAGCUGCUUUCAAACUUAUCAUAGAAAAUUAUUUUAUAUAAAUGUUAUUUGAAAAAUAAAAAAAAGGCAGAAUU